rnacentral:rRNA from 1 species
GAUGAACGCUGGCGGCGUGCCUAAUACAUGUAAGUCGAGCGAACAGACGAGGAGCUUGCUCCUCUGACGUUAGCGGCGGACGGGUGAGUAACACGUGGAUAACCUACCUAUAAGACUGGGAUAACUUCGGGAAACCGGAGCUAAUACCGGAUAAUAUAUUGAACCGCAUGGUUCAAUAGUGAAAGACGGUUUUGCUGUCACUUAUAGAUGGAUCCGCGCCGCAUUAGCUGGUUGGUAAGGUAACGGCUUACCAAGGCAACGAUGCGUAGCCGACCUGAGAGGGUGAUCGGCCACACUGGAACUGAGACACGGUCCAGACUCCUACGGGAGGCAGCAGUAGGGAAUCUUCCGCAAUGGGCGAAAGCCUGACGGAGCAACGCCGCGUGAGUGAUGAAGGUCUUCGGAUCGUAAAACUCUGUUAUUAGGGAAGAACAAAUGUGUAAGUAACUAUGCACGUCUUGACGGUACCUAAUCAGAAAGCCACGGCUAACUACGUG